UACGUAGGGUGCAAGCGUUAUUCGGAGUGAUUGGGCGUAAAGGGUGCGCAGGCGGCGUGCCAAGUCUGUCAUCAAAUACCUCGGCCUAACUGAGGUUCUGUGAUAGAAACUGGCAUGCUAGAGGGUGGAAGAGAGAAGUGGAAUUCUCGGAGUAGCGGUAAAAUGCGUAGAUCUCGAGAGGAACACCGAUGGCGAAGGCAGCUUCUUGGUCCACACCUGACGCUCAUGCACGAAAGCGUGGGGAGCAAACAGG
rnacentral:rRNA from 1 species